ACUUCAUCAGUAACUAACGCAUUCAGCGGCACUGGGAUCAAACCACGAGACACUCUUUAAAGAUGAAGUACACGCUACUGUUGAUACUACUUGUGGCCAUCACGGUCAACCACCAGACAGAGGCUUGGGGACGAUGGAGGUGGAGGAAAGCCGCCGCCAUAGCAGGCAUAUUAGCCGGCAAGCGAGAUCUGUCCGAGUCUGACACCAACAAGGACGGACAUGUGGACGAGUCUGAACUAGAAGACUUGUUUAAAACGCGGGAAGCUCGGGACAUCUUGGAGAGAGCUGGUGGUAAAGACGGAAAAAAGAAAAUAUCUUUGAAAGAUUUCGAAAAACUAAUGAAAGAGAUAAACAAUCUGGAAUAAAUAGAUACAGACAAGCUCUAACUGAAUAUCAAGAAGUGACAGUCAAUGAGACACCGUCUGUGUAGACAGAAAUAAAAUUUGCAACAACAAAA